GGGCCCUCUGGGUCCAACCUCCCACCCGUGUCUAUCGUACCUUGUUGCUUCGGCGGGCCCGCCGUUUCGACGGCCGCCGGGGAGGCCUUGCGCCCCCGGGCCCGCGCCCGCCGAAGACCCCAACAUGAACGCUGUUCUGAAAGUAUGCAGUCUGAGUUGAUUAUCGUAAUCAGUUAAAACUUUCAACAACGGAUCUCUUGGUUCCGGCAUCGAUGAAGAACGCAGCGAAAUGCGAUAAGUAAUGUGAAUUGCAGAAUUCAGUGAAUCAUCGAGUCUUUGAACGCACAUUGCGCCCCCUGGUAUUCCGGGGGGCAUGCCUGUCCGAGCGUCAUUGCUGCCCUCAAGCACGGCUUGUGUGUUGGGCCCCCGUCCCCCUCUCCCGGGGGACGGGCCCGAAAGGCAGCGGCGGCACCGCGUCCGGUCCUCGAGCGUAUGGGGCUUUGUCACCUGCUCUGUAGGCCCGGCCGGCGCCAGCCGACACCCAACUUUAUUUUUCUAAGGUUGACCUCGGAUCAGGUAGGGAUACCCGCUGAACUUAAGCAUAUCAAUAAGCGGAGGAAAAGAAACCAACAGGGAUUGCCUCAGUAACGGCGAGUGAAGCGGCAAGAGCUCAAAUUUGAAAGCUGGCCCCUUCGGGGUCCGCGUUGUAAUUUGCAGAGGAUGCUUCGGGUGCAGCCCCCGUCUAAGUGCCCUGGAACGGGCCGUCAUAGAGGGUGAGAAUCCCGUCUGGGACGGGGUGUCUGCGUCCGUGUGAAGCUCCUUCGACGAGUCGAGUUGUUUGGGAAUGCAGCUCUAAAUGGGUGGUAAAUUUCAUCUAAAGCUAAAUACUGGCCGGAGACCGAUAGCGCACAAGUAGAGUGAUCGAAAGAUGAAAAGCACUUUGAAAAGAGAGUUAAACAGCACGUGAAAUUGUUGAAAGGGAAGCGUUUGCGACCAGACUCGCCCGCGGGGUUCAGCCGGCAUUCGUGCCGGUGUACUUCCCCGUGGGCGGGCCAGCGUCGGUUUGGGCGGCCGGUCAAAGGCCCUCGGAAUGUAUCACCUCUCGGGGUGUCUUAUAGCCGAGGGUGCAAUGCGGCCUGCCUGGACCGAGGAACGCGC
rnacentral:rRNA from 1 species